rnacentral:rRNA from 1 species
UUACCCAGCUUCCAGGAAAAGCCACUAAGCUUCAGCUGCACACGACCGUACCGCAAACCGACACUGGUGCGCGAGAUGAGUAUUCUAAGGCGCUUGAGAGAACUCUGGAGAAGGAACUCGGCAAAUUGACACCGUAACUUCGGAAGAAGGUGUGCCUUUAGUAGGUGAUCCAUUUACUUGGUGAGCCCAAUGAGGCCGCAGAGAAUCGGUGGCUGCGACUGUUUAUUAAAAACACAGCACUCUGCAAAGACGAAAGUCGACGUAUAGGGUGUGACGCCUGCCCGGUGCUGGAAGAUUAAAUGAUGGGGUGCAAGCUCUUGACUGAAGUCCCAGUAAACGGCGGCCGUAACUAUAACGGUCCUAAGGUAGCGAAAUUCCUUGUCGGGUAAGUUCCGACCUGCACGAAUGGCGUAACGAUGGCCACACUGUCUCCUCCAGAGACUCAGCGAAGUUGAAAUGUUUGUGAUGAUGCAAUCUCCCCGCGGAAAGACAGAAAGACCCCAUGAACCUUUACUGUAGCUCUACAUUGGACUUUGAACAGGUCUGUGUAGGAUAGGUGGGAGGCUUUGAAGCGGUGCCGCUAGGUGUCGUGGAGCCCACGUUGAAAUACCACCCUGGUGUGUUUGAGGUUCUAACCUUGACCCGUGAUCCGGGUUGGGGACAGUGUAUGGUAGGCAGUUUGACUGGGGCGGUCUCCUCCCAAAGCGUAACGGAGGAGUUCGAAGGUACGCUAGGCACGGUCGGAAAUCGUGCUGAUAGUGCAUAGGCAUAAGCGUGCUUGACUGCGAGACUGACAAGUCGAGCAGGUACGAAAGUAGGACUAAGUGAUCCGGUGGUUCUGUAUGGAAGGGCCAUCGCUCAACGGAUAAAAGGUACUCUGGGAUAACAGGCUGAUACCGCCCAAGAGUUCAUAUCGACGGCGGUGUUUGGCACCUCGAUGUCGGCUCAUCUCAUCCUGGGGCUGUAGCCGGUCCCAAGGGUAUGGCUGUUCGCCAUUUAAAGAGGUACGUGAGCUGGGUUUAAAACGUCGUGAGACAGUUUGGUCCCUAUCUUCCGUGGGCGCUGCAAGAUUGAGAGAGCCUGCUCCUAGUACGAGAGGACCGGAGUGGACGCACCUCUGGUGUAUCGGUUGUCACGCCAGUGGCAUUGCCGAGUAGCUAAGUGCGGAAGAGAUAACCGCUGAAAGCAUCUAAGCGGGAAACUCGUCUCAAGAUGAGUCUUGCUGGGGCCUUGAGCCCCCUGAAGAGUCGUUCGAGACCAGGACGUUGAUAGGCCGGGUGUGGAAGCGCAGUAAUGCGUUAAGCUAACCGGUACUAAUUGCUCGUGAGGCUUGACCCU